AUUCCCUAAAAAUGACUGGGACUGAUGUGUUUGCUAGUUGCAGUAGGGGUUCUAGCAGUUAGACGACAGCGUCCUUGAUUCAGUUCCCAGUAAAACCUGUAGGAUGUUUUGAAAUGAUGCCCUUGAGUUGAAUAGCAACUGUCUCCUGAGAUGUAGCGGUGAGAAUGGGUUUUACAACUGGUUUCCAGACCUCAUGAAUUCCAGGUUUAAUGAAUUUUGAGUGCUAUUAAUGAGAACGGCCGGGCAGGUUGUAUGGGGAUUGUGAUCCAAAGAGUCAGAAGUGAUGAGGGAACAUUGAGAUGGGGAACCGUGCAGCCUCAGCCCGAGUGCAGCAGUAGGGCUGGAAAUUCCCUCGGGGCCUGAUCACAACCGUGCCAGGCACACGUGGGCUGCUUGUGAGGCCGAAAGGAUAACGACGGCCAACAGCAGCCCAGGAGGGGGAGAGCAGUGGGAGGUGCCCUCGUGCCUUAAUGACCCUGAGCAGCAGCAGCACCUGUGUGCCGGCCGCACCUGCCUGCGGGGCUCCAGUUCUGCCUGGGGCAGCUCCUCCCGCUCAGUCGUCGUGGAACUUCGGGAGGUUCGGGACCUGCGAACGGCGAGGUGAGAAAACGGAUUGGAUUGUUCAGAAUGAGGAGGAAGCUACAAACAAAUUAUUCAGACACUGUUACAAACAGCAGCAAUCACAGUAUACGGCCACCUGUAAGAAAGCCGUGGGCUGGAAGCUUGCAUAAAUUGUCUGGUACGGCAGACCAAGUACAGAAUGCAGAUCUCUGAUGUGGAGACAGUAGGUGAAGGCAGUAAGCGAGAAAGCCAUUUUAGACACGAUGGCAGACAACUCAUCGUGGCCCAAUUUGUUGAGCUGCUUUCCACUGCUGUAACUUCUUGAAGUAGUUUCCUCCGUUUUGAAAGAGGAGGCUCCUGGGUAGUGAGCUGAAGUGGCGGACCACCAGCUUCAGAGGAAGACACAUGAAAGAGGCAAGGACUUCACGUAUAGCCUGGCACCUUGUUAGGCUGCUCCAAAAGAACUGUCUGUAAUGCAGAAAUGAAGUGAUUUACCCAGCAGAAAAUAAGCGUUGCUGCUGUAUUGUUUUUGGCAGGAGUUGGUGGUUCAUCAUUUGGACACAUCAGCCCAUGCAUUGUCUCCCCAGAAGUAUACCUGCAACCACCUAAGAGCCCAAGCCUGUAAGAUCUGAAACCUUUUGCACAGUAUGUGGUUGGCUGAGGGACCAGAGAAGCCAGCUGUGCAGCUCAGUUCCUCUCUCUUCACAAGCAGAGUUUCCUAGUUGAGGUGCUUUCCUCCUCCUCUAUCUUCAGCUGCUCCAAAGGAUGCCUGGAACAAAACGGCCUUCAAAUGCUUCUCUCUGCUAACACUAGCAAGGGUGUUCUGCCAAUUCCUACCUCAGCUCCCCUUGAUCUGGGUCCUGGAAACUCAGCGAGUGCUGUGUCCUGAAGCUAGGAGCCACGGAGACAGGCAUUCUGACUGCACACUGCCUCUGUGCCUAGAUGAGCUGUCAUUGGGCACGAGAAGGAGAAAAGAGACUGCAAAAAACAAGAGGGAUAAAACGACAUCAUCCGGAGGGAAAAGGUAAGAGUCUGGCUUUUUUUUUUUAAUUGCUCCAUUCUGAGAUGUCUGCAAAUUUCACAUGUAUGUGCCAUGGUGACAGACAUCUUCAGCGUUCACAAAAGUUAAUGUAGUCUCAAAGUAAUUAACUGGCAAAGAAGCUGCUUAGCGCUAUCUGGGGUAUUGCAGUUAUACUGCAGCAGUAUCUUUGAUUUCACUUUAUGUAAUAUAAUUUAUUCACAUUUUCAUCUACCACCAUAUAAAGUCUUAAUGGGAGAAUGCUCACAGCGUUCCCCUGGGGAGACACCCUGCUGGAGGAUGAGCUCGCAGACCACUAAGCUAAAAACUGUUCUUCCAAGAUGUCCAGUAUUUCCCAGCCUGGAGACAGAUAAUCAAGACUGUUAUCAGAGUUCUGUAUCAGAAAUUCAUCUUGUAUUUGGUAACAGCUUAUCGAGCCGGUGGCUCCAGUACUUGGAGGCCCUAACUGGCUAACAGGGUGGCUAUGGAGAUGGGAAGUGUUCCCCUCCCAACGACUAGCUGCUUCGUGUGUUGUUUGGCAAUGAGAUGUUACUAAUCCUAAGAACAGUGACUGUGCUUUUAAUCUCUUUUGUUUCUAAUGUAUUGGAAACUAGGAAGGGUAAAAAGAAAGAACAGAGUGACUUCAAAAUUUCAGACUUAAAAUGUUCGGUGAGAAUUCUUGAAAACAUAUUUCUGUAUUUAUGAAUAUUUAUGUGGUACCACAAACAAAUUAUGGGAAAAAUACGUCAAAAUACUUUAUUGAAAGCCUCUUGUCUCCCCAGGAGAAGGAAAAAAAAAAAAAGACUGUAUAAAAAUUCAUUUAAAAGUGUUUGUAGCAUGCUGUAAAAUAUUGUCGUAAUCAUUAUUGAUAUUUGCAGUCUAGGAGCCAUGAGGAUUAAUCAUGCCCCUAAUUUCUGAAGCUAUGAAUAAGCAAAGUAAUUUAGUUGAACUUUCAUUGACAUCUUGCCAGCGUAUGUGCUCAUUAAUGUGAUUUGUCUGUUAGGCACAUACUUUAGCAGUUAAUUUAAUGCUUAAAUGCCAAUAAAAAUUACCUGUAUGGUAAUCUGCGGAAUUCUGUUGCUGUGGGAGGGAGCGUCGUUCAUUUACUGCUGUUGAGCCUCAGGAUUGCAUCCCCAAAUAAAAGACCAGAUAAUUACCCACAUUUCCCAGCAUGAGGGUGGAAUAACCAGGUGGACCAAACUGUCAAAACAAUUAUCUACUGAACUGCAAUGACGAUGAUGAGAGAGAACUCCUUUGCUAACAACUGCCAAGAUGCAGAGCAUGCUCAGACUACACUCAAAGCCCUAUGUCAUGGAGAUCCUUGCUGUGGGUGCCAGGUUGUUAACAUAGAUUGCAGCCAAAGAAUUUUAUUGUGGAAGGUGUGUGUGGGUAAGUAGCCUUUGCAACUGAUGUUUUUCUACUUGAUGCCGGCCUAUACUGUCUUGAGGUAGAGUCAUCUUGGGAAAUGCGCGAGACAUAAUGAAUACUUUUCAAGUAGAUGUUGUGAUUAUCACUUGAUUCUAAGUGUAUAUUACCUUGCCUAGUUAAUCUGGAGUCCCAGUAUAUUAGUGAGAUGCAUGAGCAUUUAUGAAGAGUUGACAUAUAUGGAACAGUAACUUCGGUAUGUGUUCAGAGCAUGUCAUUGCAUGCGUGAAAUAAGUCAUAGUUCCUUGUCAAUAGCCUUGCAACAGGAAAAAUGAGAAUAGAAGGGAGAUGUGGAGGGAAUUAAUUUGUUCGUUUAUACUUUUUUGGAGGGGAGCUGUUAGGGAUUAAUUAGCAGGACAGUUGAGACCAGGUACCUCAUGCAUUGCAGUAUUCUGAACAAGCCUACAGCAGCAAGACUGUUAUUUAGAGUUAGUGUUGUAACUGAGAAUAUCAGCUGAUCCUGGAGCUGAAACAUGGAUCAGAUGUACCAGAUAAAUGCAACUAUGCAAACUUCUUCUGAUUUCUUUCGCUUCCUGUUUCCAGUGUUGGUGUUACCAGGUGCCACUCCACAGCUGUGUUACUGAGACUGAAUCAGUAGUAAAUACAAACGGUGCAUACAGAUAAAAUUGGCAGUCAGUCAAACUGUAUUUCUAAACUUCUUACCUAAUCCUUACUGGUUACGCAAACAGUGAUGAGCAGGGUCUUGUUGAGAAUUGGACUGAAUGGUCACAGCUGAGAGUCCAUGCAUUUAGCAGCCAGCGCUGGAAGGCACGGCAAAAAUGGCCCUAUGGUAUACGCAGGGGGGUAUAUGCAGGAGGGUAUACGUAGGGGGGUAUACGACUUGUGCAAAUGUUCUGUUCCCACAGAAGAAAUUUCUAAGGCAAACCAACCCAAACUGAAUCAAAUUUGUAGCAAUCCUGAGUAGUGAUAAGAAUUGUGAAAUUUCAGCAAGUUUCUAUUCAAGCAAGAGUGUGUUUUCAGUAAGGAGCAGUAAAUCAGACUUCGAACUGUGUGGGGAAUAUAAAGCAAGCAUAGGAAUACAGCAUUUUACUAUGUACGCGUGUGGAUUAUUUUAUUCAUGUUUACACCUUAGAUGUGUCUUGUAAAUCUUCAUUUCUCUGUUACUUUAUCACCGUUCUGGCUGCACAGCUUAAGGCUUACAGGAAUUUAUAUCUUAAGCUGAAUUAUAUUACACAAGGUGACAAAUCAUGUCAGGCUGGGAUGUAUCCAGAGCUGAGGAAGCAGAGACUCCCUCCCCAUGUGCCUGCUGUGACUCCUUUGCGCUCUGUUGGUCCGAGACCUCUCUUUCUAUUUAAAGAAGGGAGUGCAGAGGAGAAAAACAGAGCUUCCAGAGAAACAUACCAAGGUCAAACAAAGGUUUAUUUGCCAACUGGUUUUGCCAAGAUGCUAAGCAAGAGCUAACAUUCAAGAAGGAUAAUUUUGCUUCCUUUAUCUGCCGGGCUACACAGCCUGUCAGGAAAGAUACUAGGCUGGGUGAAAAUCACAGAAUAAUGGAUUUUUUUGAGCUGGAAGAGACCGUUAAAGGCCAUCUAGUCCAACACCCCUGCAAUGAACGGAGACAGCUACAGCUAGAUCAGGGUACUCAAAGCCCCAUCCAGCCUGACCUUGACUGUCUCCAAGAAUGGGGCUCCCACCACCUCUCUGGGCAACCUGUUCCAGUGCCUCACCACCCUUAUUGCAAAGAACUUCUUCCUUAUAUCCAGUAUAAAUCUUCCCCUUAUAGCUUGAAACCACUUCCUCUUGUCCCAUCACAAUAAACCCUUCUAAAGAGUCUGUCCCCUUCUUUCCUGUAGCUCCCCUUUAGAUAUGAAUGGCUGCUCUCAGGUCUCCCUGGAGCCUUCUCUUCUCCAGGCUGAACAGCCCCUGCUCUUUCAGCAUGUCCUCUUAGGAGACGUGUUCCAUCCCUUGGAUCAUUUUUGUGACCCUCCUCUGGAUGCACUCCAACAGGUCAGUGCCUCUCCUGUACAAAGGACGCCACAUCUGGACCCAGUACUCCAGGUGAGGCCUUGCCAGCGCAGAGUAGAGGACAGGACCAUCUCCCUGGCCCUGCUCACCAUGCUUCUUUCGAAUGGCAUCCCGUCCCUCAAGUGUGUCAGCUGCAUUUUCAUGGAGGAUGUUUAGGUGAGUACCUUGUGUUCAUGCUUGUUAUUUAGCUCUGCAGGCAGUGGCUCACUCCAAUCCUCCCACAGGUACCUCUCCAGAAUAUAUUAGUCAGUAAAGGAAGUUCUGGAAGAGCAGGGUGAUUGAAUAGUUCUUAGCCUUUUGGUGCGUAAAGUGCCAGCUAGAAUUUAGAGCAACUUGUGCAUGCCUUUGUAGUAAAGAUAAGGUUUGUCUCAUGUUGUUACUUACUUAUUUUCAAGUAACUUGGUGAUUGGUGUGAUUAUUCUGCAGUUAUCACAGCUGUGAAAUAAAAUCACAUCUUGAAAUUUUUAAAGAUAAGAAAGGAAGGUGACACAGGUUACACAUAACCAGUCUAGUGAUAAAACCUACUGUUGCUCUAAUAUUUCUAAUGGCCAAAAAUAUUAAUGCAAGACACGUCCUGUACUCAACACAGUAUUUAUUCAGUGAUGGUGAUUUCUGCACUUACUUACAUUUUGCAGUAGCUGCUCCCAGUAAAGGAUUAGUUAGUCAUCCAUACUUACUAAAUAUAGGUAUAAGUCAUGAAAGGGAUCCACAAUACCACUUCUUAGCUGUGAGCAUUCAUCAGCUACGUGUUGACAAAUACGGGAGUUCCUGUUGGAAUGACAGACAUACACAGCUGAUUCCAGCUUUUUCUGAACUGAAAAUACAGAUACAAAAUGAAUUUAUUAUUUAGGAAAAAGAAGUUCAAGUAUAGCCAAAAUGAGGAUGUAGGCAAUUUAAACAUAACUCAGGUUUCUUCUACUUGCUUCAUACUCUGGGAAUAUAGAUAAAGAAGUGGUGUUCAGUGAGGACAGGAUUCAUUCUUAGCUAGGACUGUUGUCUUCAUGUGUUCGGCAUCCCAAUUAGAGAAUGAGAGCAGUUAAUAUGCACCACGUGCUGCAUGUUCUGUCAGUGAUGACUGCUUUACGCCUUGUAUUUUCCUAGUUGAUGACUGUACUGCAUGUAGUAUUCCACUGUUCAUGAUAACGGUACAAUUGAAUCAAAUUACACGUUUUCCAAUGCCAUCGAAGGAGAACGCUGACUAACACAACUACAGUCACAUAUGCAUUUCCUACUUAAAGUUUGUGUUUGACUUUGCAAUAAUGCAGAGAGAAGAGAUUAUUUCAUCUGCGGGUGUCAUCUACGUAUGAAUGGAGCAUUUUUCUGCUGGUGAUGUUUUCAUAUUUCAAAUUCUGCCCUCUCACCUUUGGAGAACAAGAGGUAAGUCUGCGUACGGUUCACCAUCCAGCUCUGUUCUGCUUGCUCACUGAUGGCUAUUUCAUUGUUUUUGCAGAAACAAUGUCCAUCAAGUUGUACUCAAGGGAUGAUUGGUCUUCACAGACCAUUUAAGCACAUCGCUUUGUUUCAGAAUGAUACUGACUAGAACAGUUCACAGGCAGUUAUAGUCCUGAUCCAAAUGGAAGGACAGCCGAGACUUGACCCUGGCAUAAAGCAAAGCACAUCCUACAGCAAGAAGUGGUAACCAUAGCAAAAAAACUAAAGGGGUGCCAAUUGCCAUGCCUGGUUAAAUGCAUCUUAUGGGUGUAAUUCCUUGAAAUUUUAAGAGGCUAAUUUUUAAAUUGACAUUUAAUUCUGUAAUGGUAGUAUUUAUAUUCCCCAUGAUGAAUCAGAGUGUAAUUUCAGGCAGUUCUGCGGAAAUGAAAUUGCCUGAAAGUGCUUGUGACAGCUCUGCUGUGUGAUACAGCUGUGGGGCACAGGGCUGGCCCCACAGCAGGUCAGCAACACUUCACCUGCAGAUUCACAGCCAAAUAACAUGACAAAAGCAAAUUUUUCAUCUUGCAGAGUCCAUCCACAGAGAACAAAAUCCUGGAGGUGUUCUGCAGAGCAGGUAGGCACCUCAGAUUUCUCUUUCCAGCAACCUCCUUUGGAGGCCAUCAGUGGCCGGAGCUGCUCUGCUGUCACAUUUAAAGGGAGAUGCAUCCAGGCUGGACAGACUGGCUGGACUCUGAUGGAAACCAUUUCAAUACAUGCCCAUGUACACCUACAGAAUAUAUCCUUUCCACUAUACGCCUAACAUACAUGGAAUAUUACCUGUGAUUGUACCCUGGAAAACAAGUGAGAAGCUUUGUAUUCAUUCUGAGGUGAUUUCUAUGUACCGAGAAAGCUUACAGAGAGGUAAGUCUGGGAAUUGUUUGAAUUUAUUGCUGGGGACUAGGAAUAGAUUCUCUUCUCCCAUUUACAUGAAUUGACAGUUUCUAUUCACCACAGGAAAAGCUACAGAAAAGCUUCUUGGUUUGAUGGAUGGCCAGGUGAGCUCUGAAAACAUUUUUAGACUAGAAUAAGCAAAAGGUUUUCUUUAUUUGCUUUUUUUUUUUUUUUUUAAUACUAGAGCACUCUGGAAACAAGCUGCCCCAGAGCUAACAACAUUCAGUUAUUACUUUACUAGCUAAGAAAUCAUUGAAAUUUCAAGAGCU
ensembl:lncRNA